rnacentral:pre_miRNA from 1 species
AAACAGCCCCAUAUGUUUUGAUUAUUUGGCAGUUUUGGACCCCCCAAGGUAAAAAAAAAAAAAAUGACACGUGGCACCUCACUUAGGGUGCCACGUCAGCGUUGACCGAGUCAACAAUGGACUGGGGGUCCAAAACUGCCAAAGAAUCNCUUAGGGUGCCACGUCAGCGUUGACCGAGUCAACAAUGGACUGGGGGUCCAAAACUGCCAAAGAAUCAAAACAUAGGGGGCUGUUU